GGGAAGGUAGCUCAGUGGCAGAGUGCUUGCCUUGCAUGCAUGAGGCCUAGGUUCAAUUCCUCAGCACCA
rnacentral:tRNA from 1 species